rnacentral:rRNA from 1 species
GAUGAACGCUGGCGGCGUGCCUAAUACAUGCAAGUCGAGCGAACAGACGAGGAGCUUGCUCCUCUGACGUUAGCGGCGGACGGGUGAGUAACACGUGGAUAACCUACCUAUAAGACUGGGAUAACUUCGGGAAACCGGAGCUAAUACCGGAUAAUAUAUUGAACCGCAUGGUUCAAUAGUGAAAGACGGUUUUGCUGUCACUUAUAGAUUGAUCCGCGCCGCAUUAGCUAGUUGGUAAGGUAACGGCUUACCAAGGUGACGAUGCGUAGCCGACCGGAGAGGAGGAUCGACCCCCGGGCAGAGAGGACGCGUCCCAACACCCGAGGGGAGGCAGGGUUAGGAAUCCUUCGGGAGGGGGCGAAGGCGUAAAGGGGAAACGGGGCGAAAGUGAGAAGGGUCUUGGGAGCGUAAAUCAUGUUGGUUAGAGAAGAAAAAAUGUUUAAUAAACGGGACCAUAUUGAACGUACCCUAAGAAAAAGCCCCGGCUAAAUUCGGG